rnacentral:misc_RNA from 1 species
CAAAAAUGGAUAUUGAGCAGAAGCAAACCGAGUUCAUCGAUCAGUUUGUAAAACAAGCUUCCUCUCUGAAAGGCUCCGCACUUGCGUCUGUUGUUACUGAGGCCACUUCUCACCCUUCCCUCUUCGCCUUCUCGGAAGUUCUUGCCGUUCCCAACGUCAUCGAGUUAGAAGGAACUGAGCAUUCUGUAUAUCUUGACGUGCUUCGCUUAUUUGCAUAUGGAACAUGG